ACGGGUGGGCCCUCGAAAUCCUCUUUGCGGAGAGAUUCAGUCGGGAGACGCUGAGGCGGAGGCGAGUAACGGACCCUCUAGAGGGACGAUUCUCGCUCCGCGGUCUCUGCGGAGCCCGACGCAUUUCUCCCCGCUCUCUGGACGCCGCAAUGGAUCGGGUAGCUGCGCGAGUCGGCCUUGAGACCGUCCCAGGCAGGUGGCCGGAUCGUCGGUUUUUUUGGCCGGCGUCCCGGUUAUUCGCGGGGCGGUGCAGGUGGCACGACCCCCGAUCGACGUCGACGUUCCCCCUACGGGGAACAAUCCGUCUCCGUCCAUUUGGGCGCGGCGACCGGGACAGCGAGCGCCGAAGACGCCGAACCACUCCUCGUGGAGUGGCCGGUAGUGCGGUGUGGCCGUCGUUGGUUCCGGUCUUGUCGCUGCGGGACGACGCGGAUUGCGGCGAGUAGGUCGGUCACCCACCCGACCCGUCUUGAAACACGGACCAAGGAGUCUAACAUGUGCGCGAGUCGCAGGGUCUUGAACAGGCCCUCGGGCGCAAUGAAAGUGAAGGUCUCUCAAGGACCUGGUUGGGACUCCCGAGCUCCGCUCGGGAAGCACCAACGACCCGUCCAUUCCGAUCCGUCGGUGGGACGGAGUCAGAGCGCACACGUU
rnacentral:rRNA from 1 species